UUAAAUUCUGCUGCCACUUUC
rnacentral:siRNA from 1 species